rnacentral:rRNA from 1 species
GACGAACGCUGGCGGCGUGCUUAACACAUGCAAGUCGAACGGAAAGGCCCUGCUUUUGUGGGGUGCUCGAGUGGCGAACGGGUGAGUAACACGUGAGUAACCUGCUCUUGAUUUUGGGAUAACUUCAGGAAACUGGGGUUAAUACCGGAUAGGAGCUCACGCUGCAUGGUGGGGGUUGGAACGUUUCGGCGGUUGGGGAUGGACUCGCGGCUUAUCAGCUUGUUGGUGGGGUAGUGGCUUACCAAGGCUUUGACGGGUAGCCGGCCUGAGAGGGUGACCGGCCACAUUGGGACUGAGAUACGGCCCAGACUCCUACGGGAGGCAGCAGUGGGGAAUAUUGCACAAUGGGCGGAAGCCUGAUGCAGCAACGCCGCGUGCGGGAUGACGGCCUUCGGGUUGUAAACCGCUUUCGCCUGUGACGAAGCGUGAGUGACGGUAAUGGGUAAAGAAGCACCGGCUAACUACGUG